GAUGAACGCUGGCGGCGUGCCUAACACAUGCAAGUCGAGCGAAGCACUUUGCUUAGAUUCUUCGGAUGAAGAGGAUUGUGACUGAGCGGCGGACGGGUGAGUAACGCGUGGGUAACCUGCCUCAUACAGGGGGAUAACAGUUAGAAAUGACUGCUAAUACCGCAUAAGACCACAGCACCGCAUGGUGCGGGGGUAAAAACUCCGGUGGUAUGAGAUGGACCCGCGUCUGAUUAGCUAGUUGGUAAGGUAACGGCUUACCAAGGCGACGAUCAGUAGCCGACCUGAGAGGGUGACCGGCCACAUUGGGACUGAGACACGGCCCAAACUCCUACGGGAGGCAGCAGUGGGGAAUAUUGCACAAUGGGGGAAACCCUGAUGCAGCGACGCCGCGUGAGCGAAGAAGUAUUUCGGUAUGUAAAGCUCUAUCAGCAGGGAAGAAAAUGACGGU
rnacentral:rRNA from 1 species